rnacentral:rRNA from 1 species
UGGGGAAUCUUGCACAAUGGGGGCAACCCUGAUGCAGCGACGCCGCGUGAGCGAUGAAGCCCUUCGGGGUGUAAAGCUCUUUCGGCAGGGAAGAUUAUGACGGUACCUGCAGAAGCAGCUGCGGCUAACUACGUGCCAGCAGCCGCGGUAAUACGUAGGCAGCAAGCGUUGUUCGGAGUUACUGGGCGUAAAGGGUGCGUAGGCGGUCCUGUAAGUAUGGUGUGAAAUCUCCCGGCUUAACUGGGAGGGUGCGCUAUAAACUGCGGGACUAGAGUGUGGGAGAGGAAAGUGGAAUUCCUGGUGUAGCGGUGAAAUGCGUAGAUAUCAGGAGGAACACCGGUGGUGUAAACGGCUUUCUGGACCAUAACUGACGCUGAGGCACGAAAGCGUGGGUAGCAAACAGGAUUAGAUACCCUGGUAGUCCACGCCCUAAACGAUGCAUAUUUGGUGUGGGUCAUUCAGUUGAUCCGUGCCGGGGCUAACGCGUUAAAUAUGCCGCCUGGGGAGUACAGUCGCAAGGCUG